rnacentral:rRNA from 1 species
AUUGAACGCUGGCGGCAGGCCUAACACAUGCAAGUCGAGCGGGGUUUUCGGACCUAGCGGCGGACGGGUGAGUAAUGCGUAGGAAGCUGCCCGAUAGAGGGGGAUACCAGUUGGAAACGACUGUUAAUACCGCAUAAUGUCUACGGACCAAAGUGUGGGACCUUCGGGCCACAUGCUAUCGGAUGCGCCUACGUGGGAUUAGCUAGUUGGUGAGGUAAUGGCUCACCAAGGCGACGAUCUCUAGCUGGUUUGAGAGGAUGAUCAGCCACACUGGAAGUGAGACACGGUCCAGACUCCUACGGGAGGCAGCAGUGGGGAAUAUUGGACAAUGGGAGCAAGCCUGAUCCAGCCAUGCCGCGUGUGUGAAGAAGGCCUUCGGGUUGUAAAGCACUUUCAGCGAGGAGGAAGGGUGGUGUGUUAAUAGCACAUCAUUUUGACGUUACUCGCAGAAGAAGCACCGGCUAACUCUGUGCCAGCCGCCGCAGUAAUAC